AACGUAGGAGCCAAGCGUUAUCCGAAUUCACUGGGCGUAAAGCGCGUGCAGGCGGCCUGGUAAGUUGGAUGUGAAAUCUCCCGGCUCAACUGGGAGAGGUCGUUCAAGACUGUCAGGCUCGAGGGCGACAGAGGGAGGUGGAAUUCCGGGUGUAGUGGUGAAAUGCGUAGAUAUCCGGAGGAACACCAGAGGCGAAGGCGACCUCCUGGGUCGCACCUGACGCUGAGAUGCGAAAGCUAGGGGAGCGAACGGG
rnacentral:rRNA from 1 species